GUCUUUUCAAGUUAGGUCUUCCCCUCCGUUUUCCUACUUUGCCUCUUUACUUUUCCUGUCUUCCUCUUCUCCCCUUCCUCCUCCUUUCCUGAGUCCCCCUCAAUUCUUAAUAGAAACCAGUAUCCAGAUAGCUCACUAGGGGUUGAAGAGCUUGUUGGUAGAUUGAAAAGUAAAUGCAAAGGAGGAAAAUGGAAGAAUCUGGUGGUAACAGCAGAUGCAAAUCUCCUCCACAAAAGACAGCUUUUCAGGGUUAUUCUUUU
rnacentral:lncRNA from 13 species